rnacentral:rRNA from 1 species
AUGAACGUUUUAGCUUGGAAUUGUCGAGGACUGGGGUUGGACUCGACGGUGGGCGAACUUCGCGACCUGAUUAGGUCUCACAACCCGGCGGUGGUGUUCUUGAGUGAAAUGAAGAAGAAGGCGCGAGCGAUGGAUAAGCUUAAGUGGAGUUUGGGCUUUAGAUGUGGGGUUGCUGUGGAUUGCAAUGGCAAGAGUGGAGGGCUAGCCCUUUGGUGGAGAGAU